rnacentral:rRNA from 1 species
CCUACGGGCGGCUGCAGUAGGGAAUCUUCCACAAUGGGCGAAAGCCUGAUGGAGCAACGCCGCGUGGGUGAAGAAGGUCUUCGGAUCGUAAAACCCUGUUGUUAGAGAAGAAAGUGCGUGAGAGUAACUGUUCACGUUUCGACGGUAUCUAACCAGAAAGCCACGGCUAACUACGUGCCAGCAGCCGCGGUAAUACGUAGGUGGCAAGCGUUAUCCGGAUUGAUUGGGCGUAAAGGGAACGCAGGCGGUCUUUUAAGUCUGAUGUGAAAGCCUUGGGCUUAACCGGAGUAGUGCAUUGGAAACUGGGAGACUUGAGUGCAGAAGAGGAGAGUGGAACUCGAGGUGUAGCGGUGAAAUGCGUAGAUAUAUGGAAGAACACCAGUGGCGAAAGCGGCUCUCUGGUCUGUAACUGACGCUGAGGUUCGAAAGCGUGGGUAGCAAACAGGAUUAGAUACCCGAGUAGUC